UACGGGGGGGGGCAAGCGUUGUUCGGAAUUACUGGGCGUAAAGGGGCUGUAGGCGGCCAACUAAGUCCGACGUGAAAUCCCAAGGCUUAACCUUGGAACUGCGUCGGAUACUGGAUGGCUUGAAUUCGGGAGAGGGAUGCAGAAUUCCAGGUGUAGCGGUGAAAUGCGUAGAUAUCUGGAGGAAUACCGGUGGCGAAGGCGGCAUCCUGGACCGACAUUGACGCUGAAAGCCGAAAAGCUAGGGGAGCGAAAACAGGGAGUUA
rnacentral:rRNA from 1 species